GAACUUCUCAACCGCUCCAAAUCUGUUUUGGAUGCGGCUUGGAAAUGGGGGAAGUGUUUUGCAGGCCUUUUGUGAAAGGUCUGCUCCCCUGAAAUGCAUUAGUGGGCGACUGCCACAGGUGUGAUAACUGUCAACGCCUAGGCUAUAAGCUGCCGCUUUCCAACCCUUUUGAAAUGACCA
rnacentral:misc_RNA from 1 species